CUUACCUUGAGGUGAAAUCAGAGCUUUGAGGCUGACCUGGGGAGGUGCUCCGAGCCAAGAAAAGAAGGACAAGAAAGAAGGCCCGGCAAGGGGGAGCGGCUAAGGGCUGCUCUGUCUCGCUCACCCUUCCCACCAGGAAGCGAGCGGGAGCCAAGCUCUGCCAUCACGACCUUGCAAAGGACCCGGCUACGAUGGGACCAUCUCUUAAGAGGCAAGAGCUCUGGAUCUGAUUAAGAAUUCUUGUUUUGGAGAAUGAAGAAACUUGUGGAUUUGAGAAGACGUUGAAGGAGAAAGCAAAGACCCUUGCACUGAGGAGAGAAGUCUGUGUACGGCCCCAUGUGCGCUGGACGUGACCUCCGGCCAGACGAGUCAGCAUCAUCGCAGACCUUGCCGUUCCUCCUUGUGGAAAGCGUUUCCUCUGCUGCGGCUGCCCCUCCGUCUCCCCUGCCCCCAAUGCCCGGAAACCGAAAGGCUUUUCCACCACACCCUCGCCGGCCCCCCAGCUCCCGCGUCUGCUGUGCCUUUGGACUCGGUAAUUCGUGUUUGUUCCAUUAUCUUCCAGCCGGAUACAGAGUGAAUUGUUAACCACACUCAGGUCAAAUGGGAUUUUAAUUUUUGUUCCUGUUCCUUCUAAAGAGGCCGAUGUUUGUGUUGCUAUGUGAGCAGCACCAGCGUAGAAUGUCCUCUUGCUUUUUGGGGAUCCGGGCCCUCGGAUUCCAGAGCGAUGCAGGUCAGGGCAGAAGAUUUGGGACCUCAGAGGUCGAGGACCCUCGAGGGGGCUCCUGUAGGGGCGCUGGGGUCCCCCAUGUCCAGCUUUCUUUGCUUGGAUCUCACACAGGUGUUUGUCUGGAAGAGCCAAAAAAUGAAUGCUGUGGGUUCAUCCCAGCUAUCUUCUCUCUCUCUCUUUUUAAAAAAAAAAAAAGUCAUUUUGAUGUAUAAUUGACAUAGUAUUCUAUCCGUUUCCCAGCUGUCUUCUGUUGACACAGACGCGCCACCAGCUGUGAAGACCCCUUCUCUCAGAUGGCGGUUGGGGCCCAUGCCAGCGCCUGGUGCCUCAUCACAGGCCAUCUAGCGACCAGAGCUGGUGUGUCCAUUGUCGACCCUCUUCGCCCCCGAGGACACUCCUGACGGCAGAUCGGGCCCCUUGAGACACGAGUCCUGUUUGCUCCUUCCCUCCAGAGCCGCCGUGCCCAUGGCUGAAAACCCUUCUAGAGUCGACAUUGUCUCAGUCACAGGACCAACAACGUCCAUUUGUUCUCCUGCUAAAGCAAACAGACGACUUCCCUUUUUAGAAGGAAUUAAGGCCAUACACGUCGACCUUCUCCUCCUUGUAGUGAUGUGUUUCUGUGACCCCGGAGCGACUUCCCUGUCCGGUCAGUGGGGCAGUGGCGUCCUUCUUGGCCUCUCAGAGUCCCCACAAAAUGAGCGAGGACAGCCUCCCGAGGCCGUGUCCUGCUGUUGAAAUAUAAGUCUUGUUUGUGGGCUUUGGUCUUCCUUGAGGUGCACACAAGUCCGUCGUACCAGUUAGAGUCCUUGGGGUUUCAAGGACCAGAGACCCACUUAGAUCACCUCCAUUCAUGUGGGUUUAUUCCAAGCCGCUCUGGAAGUAAGGUAGACAGGACCAGUCUGCCCAGCUGCUGCCCCGCGAGGCCUUUCUAGAAGCCUGAAGCCAUUCGAGCAUCCAUUCUCUAGACAGUUUCCAGGCACAGCAAGAACUCUUGACGCCAUGUCAUUCUGAUCUUCUGCUCAGCAGUAGGGCGCACUGCUCCUGAUUCUAGAAUUCUCCAGUGAUGAUGAGCUAAGAGUGCUAGCUGCCCCAGUUUGCCCUGGGCUGAGAGAUGUCUGGGGACACACGACUUCCACUGAUACACUUGGGACAGUCCUGGGCAAACCAGAAUAAUUGGCCACCCUCCUGGGUGGCUUGAUGACAUCGCGUCUGCUGUUGUUAUCUGCCAUAGCUCGCUGAUGCUCUUAAGAGGCCUGGCCAGCUGUCAUCAGAGCCACAAUGUCUGGCCACAUUGUUGACCACUGGGCAGCCUACAGAUGGAGGCCAUUGGCUCAAGCACCCAGUCCUGACCACGUCAGGUGUUUCCCGGGUGGUAGGGUGGCAUGAUACUGAAUUACAACCUGGGGACAAUGAACCAGCUGAGACCACAUCCCUCAGAAGAGGUGCUGUGGAUAGUGGAGACGGGAGCCACGCAGGGUAUCAGGGAUUCCUCGCCAACACAGUCCUAUUCAAAAUAGGUGAAGCUCAUAACUUUCCUUGGUAAGGACAGAGCAGUUCAUUUGGAUACAAAAACUCCCACAGCCACUGGGAAGGGUGGGGAAUGAGACUACGCCUGUCUCAGAGACAUGCACAUACCACGGGAGAAUGAGCCAAGAAGAAAACUCUGCGUCUUUGCUAGAGAGAAAGAGCUAAAAUCGUCGAGAUGGGUUUGUCUAGGGAGCGAAGGAGUUGGCUGGAGAACCUCCUGAAAUUCCUUUGAACUCUAGGAUUCUUUGAAAUAUGAAGAGCGUGUCAGUGGGACCUAAGUGUGUGCUUUCCCUCCAAAGAUCACCUUCGAGUUCCACUCCGAUCGUGUUGAAUGGGACCUCCCAGCUCCCUCUUCCCUCUCCAGACACUGACUUUAUCUGGGAUAAGGGAGCGGAACUUGGUGGUCGUGGUGGUGGGCGGUGGAGGAGGAUGGGAAGGUUGUACCUGCCCAACUUUUGGUGUUCUUGACAAGUAAGAACAAUCUGAAGGCAAAUUACGGGUUCUUUUUAGGUUAGUCAAAGCCAGGCUCUCGGGAUUGCAUGCCAUCCCGAAGCUGUUGCUUCUUGUCAGGGGAUCAGGCCUCCAUCUUUUCUGCUGAAAGACGGGCGUGAGCGUCUGCGGUGCUGGAACGCGAGCCUGUGGCUCGUCCCACCCCCCCUGCAUGCUGUGACCACACAGGGGGUCAUUGCCUGCUAAGGUAGAGAUCCGCAUGCAAACGUCUAGAAACCUGAUUCUCAUUACCCCUGUGCAAAGAUUGAGAUCCCCCGUGCACCCGAGGCUUUGCCCCUGUUCUGACUCUGUGCCUUCGCUGCCGGUGAAGGAAGGCUAGCCCAGCGCGUUGGGUGCUGCUUUUCUUUUUAAAAAGAUGAACUCAUUUCAGACAUUCCCUUCAUUCAUGGCCCAUGUAUGGUCUUUGGUUCCAGAAGUCUCACUGUUGUGCCAAAGGCAACAAUCUCCUCUUCCUCUCUCUUCCUAUCUUCUCAUCCGCAUAUAACCCCAGAAUCCCAGAGUUCAAGGUGGUCUAAAAGCAUCACUUUUUUCUAGAUUUACCUCUGCCUGAGGCAGGAAUCAUCUGACGAGGGAUCGCCCAGGCCUGGGGGAGGCAGUGUUUUUGGCAAGUGGGGGAGGGACGAGAGAGGGUGAGGGGGGGAUGAUAUUCUGCCCCGUAGGGGAAACAGUAGGAUUGUGAGGAACAGUUCAUGGGUUGCCUAGAGACCACGAACGUCAACUUCCUAAUGAGAUUCUGAGGCAGGUGCACUGGCCCCGCCCCCCACCCCAGCGUGUAUCGGUCUCUUACUUCUGGAUCCAGGGUGACUUCUGCUGAUAAAAAGCACAGAGUGGGGAGAUGAGGAAAUCUGAGAUUUUGUCUCUGAAAGCCCCUCGUCUUCGUUCCUUCCCCGUAAAACGGAGGAGUCGGGCCACGUGAUUCCUGAAGCCUCUUGGGUCUCUGACUGCCGCAGUGCCGUCAUCGUUCCCUGAGCCCGUGACCUGAAGCUUUGCUGGGUUUUGCUCCAUGUGCGAAGAGUAAAUCAGAUGUUGCCCAAGCUAUGGAGGAAAGGCAUGUCAUCUGUGUGCUGAGCAGGCUCCUCUUACUCCGAUCCGUUAUGAACGUAACCUCAAGUUAGGGUCCUGUCCCUGGAUUUUGCUCAGGCUUUCCUGUGAGAUCUCCCCACGGCAUCGAAGCUUUACCCUACAGGGACCUGUUAUCCUCUUCAAAGGGCCCCCCAAACCCCAGUGUUGAUGGAGAAAUAGAAGGUUCUAAUGGUGAAGUAUGGUCCUCUGCUCAGGGGAAUGUGGUUUACAGAACAUACGGGUGACCUUGGGAAUGGCCACUGACCUUGGACAAGACCCUCGUGUGAGGCUGGUGGGAAGCAGGGCUGGGUCCCCCUGCCUCUGCUUCUGAGUAAGACCUUCCAUGAUCAGGCUGGCAAGAGCUCUGAACCACAGGGUCUGGAAGUCUGUCCUCUAGUCCCACCUUAACCUCAGCCCCAAGGCCCUUUUCUGUGGUCUCAGUCUUCUCAUCCACAAACUGGGAGAGGGAAGCAGAAGUGGGCAGUGCAGGUGAUCCUCUAGGAUCCCUCCCAUGUGUCAAGUUCUCAGCCUCGCCUGACCCCGCUGAGGCCUCCCUGUUCUCUGACAAGUAGCUCUUCUCCCUUUGCCUUCAGCGGCACAAGCCGAAAGCAGGGCUGUCCUGGGAAGUCCAUUACCAAAGAAUACUUCAAAGCUGUUUGCACUCAUCAGUCACACUGAACUUGAGUUUGUUGAGGGAGAAGGCAAAUAGACAUAUAGACUGAUGGCAGACAUGGGGAAGGGUUGCUCUCUGCCCCGGGUGACCGAGGGGGAAGGGAGCUGCCUAUAGUUCUAACCAAUGAAUGAAAACUGGGGGCUCUGCGUGGCUACAGCUGGAGGGGAUUUAUGAGUUUGCUUAGCGAAAGGCAAAUAUUAAGUCUUAAGUUGACCCGUCCUGGGACCUGCCUCUUGGCUUUUGUAUGUCGUCCGGCACCGAUCACUGUGUACUUCGGGUUAUCAAGUUCUGUCAAAGGGUUUUGGUUGUGUGGUUUUUUUUUUUUUUUUUUUUUAAUUGUUUUCCGUGUCCUUCUCCUUUCUUCCCUCCUUUGCCUGCCUCCCCCUGCUAUUACUGCCACUCAGGGCUGGGUUUUAAAGAGAUAGGGAAGGCAGAGUGUGGAAGACAUGUUGUCACGUUGUCCUGUCCACAGAGCUGGCUGCAUUCAGGGCUUCCACUGGCUUCGGAAUGGCCCACCUGCCAGGGUGGAGGCUGGGGACCAGGUGGUCCCCGUGGGUCCCCCUCUGCCCUUGGCCCCGAGCAUAAAUCUGGGCAUCGGAAAAAGAUAGGCAUCACCUGUUUAGUUGUAACCUUUCCUUCCUAUGUGACUGUUGGCGCUGAACAGUGGCUGGUGACCUCAGCCAGAUGUCCUGCAGGAUGAGCCACUGAAGAUAGUGCCGGGAACGCUACCUGGGGUCUAACCAGGGCUGGUCCCCAUCCAGGGAGCGAAAUGUCCAGACCAAAGGGGUUGCACAGGCACCUGGUCUCUCUAGUUUC